rnacentral:rRNA from 1 species
CAGCCGCCACGGUAAUACGUAGGGUGCAAGCGUUAAUCGGAAUUACUGGGCGUAAAGCGUGCGCAGGCGGUUUUGUAAGACAGAGGUGAAAUCCCCGGGCUCAACCUGGGAACUGCCUUUGUGACUGCAAGGCUAGAGUACGGCAGAGGGGGAUGGAAUUCCGCGUGUAGCAGUGAAAUGCGUAGAUAUGCGGAGGAACACCGAUGGCGAAGGCAAUCCCCUGGGCCUGUACUGACGCUCAUGCACGAAAGCGUGGGGAGCAAACAGGAUUAGAUACCCGUGUAGUCCCUGUCUCUUAUAC